rnacentral:tRNA from 1 species
GGACUGUUAGCUCAGUUGGUAGAGCAGUCGCCUCUUAAGCGAUAGGUCCUGGGUUCGAGCCCCAGACAGUCCACUA